AAGUCGUAACAAGGUUUCCGUAGGUGAACCUGCGGAAGGAUCAUCAUCGAAUUCAUAUCCACCUCCCUCGCGGAGGUGGACCCAUGAUAAACCCUUCUGUGCACCGUAAACCGUUCACUUUGGCAGGCUUUGGUGUGAGUGAGCGUGAGCUCGCCCCCCCAACCUCGCGUUCUCCCUCCCCUACUACAGGAGGGUUACGCGUGGCGGCCUGCCGGAGUUCUCUCAUGAAAAACACGUUUUUUUCGAACACGUCUGAAAAAUUUCCUUUGAGAAAUCAAAGAACCGAAAACAACUUUCAACAACGGAUCUCUUGGCUCUC
rnacentral:misc_RNA from 1 species